NNGGUCAGGAUACCUUCUGCCAGACACUAAAGCAUAUGGAGAUAGAAUAGAAAGAAUGCUUCGCCUCAGUUUAAACAUUGACCCUGAAGCAAAGGUGGAAGAAGAACCAGAAGAAGAGCCUGAAGACAUAGCCGAAGACACAGAGCAGGACGAAGAUGAAGAAGAAUUGGACGCAGGAACAGAAGAAGAAGAACAAGAAACAGCAAAGCAAUCUACAGCUGAAAAAGA
rnacentral:lncRNA from 1 species